AAGCUACUUGACUACCUGCACACAAUCAGGACUGGGCAAGUGUUUGGGACAGUGCUUGCUGUUGUCCACACCGUGGAGUUCCAGAAAACGGGGGUGCCCCAUGCACAUAUCCUUGUUUGGCAGGAGAAGAACGAUGAUCAGGCCCCUGCACUUGCUGAUGUUGAUCCAGAUGCUUGUACUGCUGCACCUGCCAACAGCGUGGAAGCGGCGGUUGCUCAGCCAGCUAGGCUUAACAGGUACACUAUAUCUAUACA